GAAAAAAAAAAAAAUCCCAUAAAAAUGCUACGCCCUCCACCGGCCUGACACCGUUCGCUGGGGUGUCGCGCUGGGGAGGAGAUGAAGGAGCCUCGAACACCGGAGGCAGAGGGACAGCGGCCCGAUGUAAUUUCUUCCACAAUGGGAGAGACCCUUGCCCCCGGCGCAGACGGAGGGUGCGCGUUAGAAAUCAGGCGUGCUGCCGGCGAACGCGGUAGGCGGGGGGCGACCCCGACCCGGAGCCGGCAGGGAAGCCCGGCCCCCAGCAGGGGUCAGCGGCGGCGCGGGUCGCACGGGCUGCAGGCCGAACAGGGGCCUCCGGGGCCGGCGGGAGAAGCGGUCCUUACCUGUCCCUGGGCGCGGACUGUGACUGCGGCGCCGCCCGGGAAGGGCUGGGGCGCGCGGGUCGGCCGCCGGCACCCGGACGGGCGAAGAGCGAGGAGCGGAGGGCGAGGGGCGCGGACGGCGGACUGGCUCCCGGGCUCCCGCAGGCUUGCCCGGCCGGACGCAGCGGCUCCCGGCGCCCGCAGCGGGUCGCUCAGUCACGCCGGCGGCCCCGCGGCGCGGUGGCUGACACGGAGACAGCGGGAACCGGCCCCCGAGAGGAGCCGCAGCCCCAGCGGCAGCCGAAGGAGGCGAAGGAGGGGCGGGGCCACAGGGUCGGUGACCCGCUCACCCGGAAGCAGUUGCGGCGGCGGCGGCGGCGGCGCGCGCUGCGGGACAGGCGGGUUCGCGGCCUGGCGAACCGCGGCCGGCUGCGCGGGGUGCCGGGAGCAGCGCCCCCGCCGCGACCGCCGCGAGCUGCUGGCGCCGCGCCGGAGGGAGGGCGGCAGGGUGCGACCGCCGGUGGGCGGAGGCCCGGGCGGCCUAGAGGUGGCUUCUCGGGGCCCGCGGAGGACCGGGGACCGGGAAGGUGAACUGAGGCGGUCGCCCGCUCGAGGCUGCACCUGCCCCGAUCGCCCCUAAACUGUCCGGCCUAGUGGGCUUGGGUAAGUGGGCCGGGCGGCGGCUCCGACUGCAGGGAACGAGCGUGCGAGAGCGAGCGGGUGUAGCGGCAACGCUGAAAGCCCUAUUUCCAAAAUGAAAACCCGUGAUUUUGAAAUGAUUUCCGGAGGAGGCGGCGGCGGUGGUUUGGGGGGAGGGGGGGGAGGCGGAGAUGGCGGGAUAUGGAGGCAGUUAAAUAUCUGCCAGACCCGGACCUGUCGUUCAUUCCAGAAGGGUCUCUUGAGACUCCGCAGGUUCAAGGCGCUGGAGGCAGACCCAGGGCCUUGCUCUUUAGGAAGCUUACCUUCUAGUGGAGUAGAGAGAUUUAAGCAGACAGACAAGGUAAAGACGGAUUGUGGCAAGGCUAUGCCAUGCAGGAAAUACAGAAUAAUGAUGCGAGGGUUGAGUGGGCCAGACCUCCUUUUUCGGGAUAGGAUGGCUAGAGAACCUCUGGAGGGAAGUGAUAGUUGAGCUGCUUCCUGAGACAAAGGCGUGAAAUGACAGCUUAGACACAGUGUUACAGCCGGGGACUGUAGGUUCCAGAACUGCUGCGUAAGGCCGCGGAUUACGUUAAAAACCUGUCUCCAAAGCCUGCUUCUUUUUUUUUUUUUUUUUUUAAUUUUCCUUUUAAUGUUUAUUUUUUGAGAGAGAGAGAGAGAGAGAGAGAGACAGCGCGAGCGGGGGAAGGGCAUAGAGAGAGAGGGAGACCCAGAAUCCCAAGCAGGCUCCAGGCUCUGAGCUGCCAGCACAGAGCCCGACGAUGGGCUCGAACUCACAAGCCCUGGGAUCAUGAACUGAGCCAAAGUGGGACGCUUCACCGACGGAGCCACACAGGCGCCCCCUCUAAAGCCUUCUAAGGCCUGUCUCUGUCCUGUCCACUCCUUCAGUUUCGAAGGGCUUGCUCCCCCUUGGGAGUUGUUGGGGUCUGGGACUGUGGCUUCUUAGCGGAGGUUCAAGGCAGGAAUUAGGGAGCUUUGGUGUGUAGACAGACAUCAACAGAUGCUUGAAGGCAAACAGCCUCGAGAGACAAAUUCUUUAACCUUUUGCCGUUUCUUUUCCCACGUCACUUUUUCUGAAACCCAUGAGUAAGCAUUAAAACUAUGAUUUUUACCUGGGAGCUUAAUCCUCCCAAAAGAUGGAGCUCUGUUAUGAUCUGAAUAAGAGAAUUAAUGACCUAUUUUGCUAAAUCAGUUAAAGACAAAAUUAAAAGCUGACUUGCGAAGAGAGGACCUUUUCAGGUUAUAACGCAUUACCUGAAUAAUACCAAAAAACCCAAUAAUGUUUAUUCAAUAUUAGUUUAUAUAACUGCGUAAUUAAUGCAAUGAUUGUUUGGAUAAUAAUAGUGGGAUUAGAAUCUCGAGCCCUUUUUGCUUACUCCUCGGCCAUUUGUUUUGGUUCAUACCAAACUAACAGAAGGAAAUAUUUUGUUGUGUCUUCUGGGAAAACUGGGAGCGAGCUCACACUUCUUGCUGCCUACUGUUUGGACAGCAUUGUGCUAGGCAUUUAAAUACAUUAUCCCUUUCAGGACUGGGACCAACCUUGAGAUACGGGGAUUAUUAUACCCAUUGUCGUAACGAAGACAUAGUCGCUGGAAGGAUUAACAAAUGACAGUCAGUAAGCUUGCCACAGUGCUCCUCUGGAAUUACAAGCUUACUACGACAAUUCUGUGUUUCAGCACGCUUAAAAGGAAGUCAUUUAUCAAAUUUUGCUGCGGGAAAUGGAUAACGUGUUGGCUCUCUGUAUCAUUCUGGAAUUUCGGAUGGCUUCUCCAGUUUGCUGCUUCCCUGGACACCAAACAUAACAUUCCCUGUUCUAGGACCUGCUUCAAGUUGGUCGUAAGACUGGCAGAAAGUCAAACCAAACUAAAUGAAUAGUUGUUGAAGUUAAUCUCACGUCCUGGAGCUGUGUGUGCUAUGGAAUAGCCUGCUGUUGUUACCAGGCAUAACGCUGAUCAGAAUCACUGCCCUGUGGUCUUGUUCAUCAGAAUUUCAUGUUUGGAAAUUAGAUUUGGGUCUGGUUACUGUAAAAAUAGAUAUUAUGAUAAUGGAAUAUAGCCGUUAAAAUUUCUAUUGCAGGAGAAAUUAGCCAUGUAUUUAAAUGUAGGAGUAUGUUACUAAACAAUAUGUUCAAGAUGAUUCCAGUAUUGUUUAAUGUUAUGCAGACAUAGACAAAUACUGGAAAAAGGCACUCAAAGUUCACUUUAAGGAAUGGAGGUACCAGUGAUUUCAUUUGACUUGUUUACUGUUCAGAAUCUUCCUAGAUGAAAUGUACUACAUCUAUACUCAGAUAAUUUUUAAAGGAAUCUAUUUUUCAUACCAAUACCCCAGAGUCAAAAUACGCAAAAGAUACCACUAAAGAGUGGUAAAUUAGGUCUACCUAAAAAGGUCUUAUUACGAUUCUCGCCACUCAAAAACCAUUGUAGAUUUUGCUCUUGUCUUGCAUGCAUCGUUUUUUUCUUUCACUCUAAAAAAUCAUGUACUAGAUGCUAGGAGUAAAUGAACAAUACAGGUGUGGCUUCUGCCCUCUCAGAACUAACUAGUUGUCUGGGGAAGAUAGAACAAGCCGAC